GCUGCAGUGGUUGAAUUGGUAAGACGCCCGCCCGGUAUAAGGGAGGCUCCAGGUUCGAACCCUGGUUGGGGUG
rnacentral:tRNA from 1 species